rnacentral:rRNA from 1 species
UACGUAGGGACCGAGCGUUGUCCGGAAUCAUUGGGCGUAAGGAGCGUGUAGGCGGCUUGCUAAGUCUUGCGUGAAAUCUCGGGGCUCAACCCCGAGCGGUCGUGGGAAACUGGCAGGCUAGAGUGCGGGAGAGGAGAAUGGAAUUCCUGGUGUAGCGGUGAAAUGCGCAGAUAUCAGGAAGAACACCCGUGGCGAAGGCGGUUCUCUGGAACGCAACUGACGCUGAGACGCGAAAGCGUGGGGAGCAAACAGG